rnacentral:rRNA from 1 species
UUUUUUUUUUUUAUUAAUAAGAUUAAAAAUUUAUUUUAUUUUAAACUUUGUUAGUUUUAAAUUUCAAAAAUAUAAAAUUUAGUAAGUUAAAAUUUUUUUUUUAAAAAAAAAAUUUUAUUUCUUAUUUCAAAAAAUUAAAGUUUAUAUUUUUAUUUGGUUAUAAAUGUUUUUUUUUUAUUAUAAUUUUUUAUAAUUUUUUUAUUUUUUUUUAUUUUAUUAUUUACAUAGUUUUUAUUAUUAGAAAAAAUUUAAUUUUUUUUUUUUAAUUUUUUUUUAUAUAUUAUUUUUAAUCAUUUUUUUUUUAGUAUUUUUUUUAAAAAUUGUUAUAUUUUUUUUUUUCAAUCUUCUUUAAAUUAUUCAAAAUUAAUUAGGACUGUUUAUUAAAAACAUAAAAUAUAAUUUUUAUAUUUGAUUAUUUUUUUUUUUAUAUUUGUUAAUAAAAAUUUAGGUAUAUAAUUUGUAUUUUAAUUGAAUAAUAUGAUGAGAUAUUUACCUAAUUUAUUUAUUUUUUUUAGAAGAAUUAAAAUUUUUUUUUUUUUUAGAUGAUAAGACCCUAAAAGUUUUUAUUCAUGGGGUAAGUUUUAUUUAAAUAAUUUUAAAUUAAAUUUUAUUUUAUUACUUUAGGGCUAAUGGGAAAAUUUUUUUGUUUUUCACCUCGAUGUUGUAUAAGAUAUAUUUAAGUCUUAAUAAUACUUAUUUUUAUAUAUGUUAGAUAUUUAUUUUCUUAUUUAUAUGAGUUUAGAACGCUGCAUGGUAGUUCGGUUUCAAUCUAAUUAUUUUAUUAAUAGUACGAAAGGAAUUUAAUUUUUUUUUUUAUAUAAUAAA